rnacentral:sRNA from 1 species
ACGAAAGAUGGAGAAAGAAUCUUGUCAUGUAACUUGUUAUACAUGGCAUGAGUAGGCGAUAAGGGUACGCAAAGAGAUAGGAGGUGACCUCAAUAUAUAUAACUAACUGAUGGAGGUAGCAAAGGACCUGGACUAAAAUCUGCAGAAAAACAAAGCGAAACUCCACACACGAAAGGACCCGGUAGAAUAAUAAGCCACCAGACAAACGCCUCGCUGAGUUAGAACAUAAAGGACUUUAAAAUCAAGCGAAUAGCCUCCUACCCAAACUCAAUACCCAGAAAAACAACACAUCGUGAAUGGCCACGCGGCAUAGGGAAAUCUUGAUCGAGUAUACAAGAGUAACAAAGGAAAGGCAAAUAAGAAAGGAGGAAAACGGAAGAAGGAAUACUACCAAUUCCACGUCCGACUCGACGCGGUAAACACUGGAGGCUUCCACUGUAACCUGGCGGGAUCAAUCUUCCGGGUGCCUUUUAUUUUCUCUUUUUCCAAACGUAUUUUGUAUUGUUCGACUACGGC